rnacentral:rRNA from 1 species
GGAUUAAUUUAUUGGUCGUGCUAUUGUACGUACUGGUAUUAUUGAUUCCUACCUUCUGACGAACCACGAUGUCAUUAAUUUGGUGUCAUGGGGAAUCAGGACUGUUACUUUGAAAAAAUUAGAGUGUUUAAAGCAGGCUCACGCUUGAAUACAUUAGCAUGGAAUAACGAAAUAGGACGUUUGAUUCUAUUUUGUUGGUUUCUAGGAUCGACGUA